rnacentral:rRNA from 1 species
GAGACCCAUGCCAUUAGUUGCUAGUUAUUAGAUUCUAAUGACGCACUCUAAUGGGACUGCCAGCGCUAAGCUGGAGGAAGGAAUGGGCGACGGUAGGUCUGUAUGCCCCGAAUUCUUUGGGCUACACGCGGCAUACAAUGGUAUGGACAGCGGGACGCGACACCGAAAGGUGAAGCUAAUCCCUUAAACCAUAUCUUAGUUCGGAUCGUGGGCUGUAACUCGCCCUCGUGAAGCUGGAAUCCCCAGUAAUCGCGUUUCAAUAAAGCGCGGUGAAUAC